GGGAGAUGAAAAUGCUAAAUUGCUGUUUAAAAAGAUCAGGACAAGGUUAUGAUUUCUCACCCAAGUUCCUGGGAAAAAGGAUCAUGAGGGAAUUACUUAUUAACAAGGAAAAAGCAAAGAGGAACUUUACAAACUGUUACAGUUUUCCAUCAUCACUUGACUGCUGACAAGAAACCUCUUUGAAUUCCAGUAUACACAAUCACAUUUUAAAACCUUCAAGACGCCGUUUAAUCAGGAGUUGUAAGGCACAUUUGUUAGAGAGAGCUGCACUUUAAAAAUUAUACAGACAUCACCUGAAGUUAUUAAAGUUAUCAAAACAUAUUAAAAACCUUCAAGUAAGAGGUAUGCAUAUUAGCAGCAUUUAACUAAAAUUAAUAUAUUAAUUAGCAUAUUUCAGUAUCACUUUUAUAAUAGGAAAAAAAAGCAGUACGUUUUCGUUGUGUUCAUCACACACACACACACACACACACACACCCCCAUAGAAAACUUGAAUAUCAUCGAGCCUGGUCACAGUGAAAAUGUUAUAUAAAUAUAAAGGCACUGGGCAGAAAUGUUUACAAUUACAAUUUUUUUUUUCUUUUUACCUAUCUUUUUUUUUGAGAUAGGGUCUCCCUCUGUCACCUAGGCUGGAGUACAGUGGCACGAUCUUGCUCACUGCAGCCUUCACCUCCCAGGUUCAAGUGAUUCUCAUGCCUCAGCCUCCCAAGUAGCUGGGAUUACAGGCACACGCCACCAUGCCCAGCUAAUUUUUGUACUUUUAGUAGAGACGGGGUCUUGCCACAUUGACCAGGCUGGUCUCAAACUUCUGACUUCAAGUGAUCUGCCCGCCUUGAACUCCCAAAGUGCUGGGAUUGCAGGCAUGAGCCACUGUGCCCAGCAGAAUUUAUUUUUUUAAGUGAGACUGGAAUGAAUCUUUGGUUACUCAAAAUUCCAUGACACCAGUUAUUAGAUUUAGAUGAGA
rnacentral:lncRNA from 1 species